GCAGCCUGGCUGCAUGGUGAUGAUCUCCCCUUGGGCUGGGACACCUCUCAAGGUUGCUCCUCGAGGCAGAGAGACCUUUUACCAAUGGCAGAUCUUUGAGUAGGAGGAGGGAGACCUAUAAAAAAAAUACUCUUAUAUGAGCAGGAAGGAAUAGAACUAUGCACUGUUUGCAGAAGACCACAUCAAGUUUCACAGAGGAGAAGCAACGUACACUUUCCUUAUAAACAGUCAGUAGUACAGCACCUGCUUUUCUUGGAAGGUGAGAGACAGCAGGAGAGUCGGAAGGACUGGGACAUCAGAAGUGCCAAAGGACAAAGGCAUUUUUAUUCUAAGGUCAAGACUCUACUCAUCCUUUGACUCAUUGCUCAUAUGAAAACACUGGCAUAAAGAAAAGCUCCUUAACAUCUGCUGUGAAGUAAAAGGCCACUGGAGACCCUUGUGGGACCAGAAGAAACAAUCGGAGUCCUAGAGAAAACAGGAAUGAGGAAAAUAGCUUAGCACAUAGACCACUGAGGUAAGGAGAACAGAGGUAUGAGCUGGGGGUGCUGGCUGCACGUAUGGAGGGUGAAGGGGAACACCAUGGGCACUAAGUAUUUUGAGGCAGCUGGAAGAAAGAUGUUGAAAUUCUUAAUAUUCUAGCAGCAUCACCAGCCCAACUCUGCUAAUGUUUGGUGUGGAUCGAAGAUCCCAGCCCCAGCUCUUUGGUGUCUGUGUGUCACUUUUUUCAGACCUAGCCUUCACCCUCAUGUUUUCAGACAUACUGAGAAAAUUAAGAAAGUAGCCAGUAAGUGUUAAAUAAAGACUUUCUCAAUAACCUUCCUUGUAUUUUGGGUGUCAGUCCUUCCCUCACAGAACCCCCAUAGGGUUUUUUUGUAAUGGCUCAGUACUGGAAAUGAGUACCUUUAACAUCUGCUCAAGCUGGGAGCAUUCAUCCUCUUGGCAUGAUUAAGCCUCAGGUGCCUGAAAACUCACUUCAUAAACGAUAGUGAAAACUCACUU